UACGUAGGAUGCGAGCGUUGUCCGGAAUUACUGGGCGUAAAGAGCUCGUAGGUGGUUUGUCGCGUUGUUCGUGAAAUCUCACGGCUUAACUGUGAGCGUGCGGGCGAUACGGGCAGACUUGAGUACUGCAGGGGAGACUGGAAUUCCUGGUGUAGCGGUGGAAUGCGCAGAUAUCAGGAGGAACACCGGUGGCGAAGGCGGGUCUCUGGGCAGUAACUGACGCUGAGGAGCGAAAGCGUGGGGAGCGAACAGG
rnacentral:rRNA from 1 species